GAUGAACGCUGGCGGCGUGCCUAAUACAUGCAAGUCGAGCGAACAGACGAGGAGCUUGCUCCUCUGACGUUAUCGGCGGACGGGUGAGUAACACGUGGAUAACCUACCUAUAAGACUGGGAUAACUUCGGGAAACCGGAGCUAAUACCGGAUAAUAUAUUGAACCGCAUGGUUCAAUAGUGAAAGACGGUUUUGCUUUCACUUAUAGAUGGAUCCGCGCCGCAUUAGCUAGUUGGUAAGGUAACGGCUUACCAAGGCAACGAUGCGUAGCCGACCCGAGCGGGAGAUCCGACACCCGGGAAGUGAGACACGGUCCAGACUCCUACGGGGGGCAGCAGUAGGGAAUCUUCCGCGAUGGGCGGAUGCCUGAUGGAGCAACGCCGCGUGAGUGAUGAAGGUCUUCGGAUCGUAAAACUCUGUUAUUAGGGAAGAACAAAUGUGUAAGUAACUAUGCACGUCUUGACGGUACCUAAUCAGAAAGCCACGGCUAACUACGUG
rnacentral:rRNA from 1 species